UAAAGAUUAUAUGGGUUACUUACAUCCUCUCCGUUCUUUCCAGGGGGACCAGCAGCGCCACGGGGACCCAUUGGACCCUACAGAAUGAAAGAAACAGGAAAAAAGUCUAAGUUAGGAAAAAAACAUCAGUGUCCAUCUGUUGGAGGAGAGUUUCCAAACCUGUGCCAACUUGUCUCCAAAGGCUCGCGCAUGCGAACGUGAAAGGCCCAGUUGGUCUAAUGCACAUCUAGACUAAGCAAAAAGUUCCUCACCAUUCAAGAAGAAUAUGAAUAAAAACUAUACCUCAGGCGACAGGAAAAUGCCCGACAGGAAAAAAGUCCUGACAGAAUAAUUUCUCUUGCUGCCUCCCUCCACAGCAUCACAAAACCCAUCGCCUCUUCACUUUGCACCCACUAACCUCCAGCAAAGCUUGGAAAGUUGUAAAAAAAAGUUAUACUUACGAUCGUCCUCGCCUUGUCCUCUUGCCAAAAGCACCGUUGCGCUGAGCAACAGCGCCAGCCGAAUAUCCACAAAGCUGAACAUGUCUAAAUAUUAGACAUGUAGACUCUUUGAGGCGAGGGAAGUUCUUUUUUCCUUUAGACUCCAAUCAUACACGGUAGGGUCCGGUCUUCUGUGACUCCAAUCCAGACCCCAGCAGAAACUCCCUACUGCCUAAACCAACUCUAGGUCCUGGCUUUUAUACCCCAAAGUUUCUGGGAGGCGCCGGGAGCAGCAGAUAACUCAAGCAUGUUCAUGUAUAAUAGAAAAAGCGUCCCUCCUUCACCGGACAGGGGGGCUGUCUUCACAACGUUUGCAGAGCUAACUUCUAAAGAAACCUGAUCUCUUAAUAAAAAGGUGAGGGUUUGCACUCAAAACUUCUUUUUGGUGAGGCUAGGUUGUGUGCCAAGGUGACCACCUGUACUGUGGGCAUCACUCCGGACUUUUGUUUCUAUCUUGAAUUCUGCAAAAACCACAACUUUCUUCACAGAGGGACUUGGAGAUGCAAUGCUUUCUGAGUUAAAUUUGUCGUCGCUUCUUUAUUCAUUUGUAUACUGACGGAACAUUUAUGACUUACUGGCGUCAUAAAACGUA